UACGUAGGGUGCGAGCGUUGUCCGGAAUUAUUGGGCGUAAAGGGCUCGUAGGCGGUCUGUCGCGUCGGGAGUGAAAACUCAGGGCUUAACCCUGAGCCUGCUUCCGAUACGGGCAGACUAGAGGUAGGCAGGGGAGAACGGAAUUCCUGGUGUAGCGGUGAAAUGCGCAGAUAUCAGGAGGAACACCGGUGGCGAAGGCGGUUCUCUGGGCAUUACCUGACGCUGAGGAGCGAAAGUGUGGGGAGCGAACAGG
rnacentral:rRNA from 1 species